GGAGGGAUGGCCGAGUGGUUUAAGGCGGUGGUCUUGAAAACCUCUGUGGGGGCAACCUCACCGUGGGUUCGAAUCCCACUCCCUCCG
rnacentral:tRNA from 1 species